GGGGGGGGGGGGGGGGGGGGGGGGGGGGGGGGGGGGGGGGGGGGGCGGGGGGGGGGGGGCUUCGCUGUCGGCGGGUGGCGGACGGGGGGGUAUAGCGGCGGAACGUGCCAAGGAGGGGGGGAUAACCAAACGAGAGUUUGGCUAAUACCGCGUAAGCUCCAAGGAGGAAAGUAGGGGACCUAAAUAAGGCCUUACGCUAUUUGAUCGGCCGAUGUCGGAUUAGCUAGUUGGUGGGGUAAUGGCUCACCAAGGCAAUGAUCCGUAGCGGGUCUGAGAGGACGAUCCGCCACACUGGGACUGAGACACGGCCCAGACUCCUACGGGAGGCAGCAGUGGGGAAUUUUGGACAAUGGGGGAAACCCUGAUCCAGCCAUGCCGCGUGUAUGAAGAAGGCCUUAGGGUUGUAAAGUACUUUUGUUAGGGAAGAAAAGCUAGUUUUUAAUAAAAAUUAGUGAUGACGGUACCUAAAGAAUAAGCACCGGCUAACUACGUG
rnacentral:rRNA from 1 species